UACGAGGGGGGCGAGCGUUGUUCGGAAUUAUUGGGCGUAAAGGGUGCGUAGGCGGUUUGGUAAGUCUUAUGUGAAAUCUACAGGCUCAACUUGUAGUCUGCAUGAGAAACUGCCGGGCUUGAGUGUGGGAGAGGUGAGUGGAAUUCCUGGUGUAGCGGUGAAAUGCGUAGAUAUCUGGAGGAACACCGGUGGCGAAGGCGACAUCCUGGACCGGUAUUGACGCUGAGGCGCGAAAGCCAGGGGAGCAAACGGG
rnacentral:rRNA from 1 species